UACGUAGGGUGCGAGCGUUGUCCGGAAUUAUUGGGCGUAAAGAGCUCGUAGGCGGUCUGUCGCGUCUGCUGUGAAAACCUGGGGCUUAACCCCGGGCCUGCAGUGGGUACGGGCAGACUAGAGUGUGGUAGGGGAGACUGGAAUACUUGGUGUAGCAGUGAAAUGCGUAGAUAUCAAGUGGAACACCAGUGGCGAAGGCGAGUCUCUGGACAUUUCCUGACGCUGAGGCACGAAAGCCAGGGGAGCAAACGGG
rnacentral:rRNA from 1 species